GACGAACGCUGGCGGCGUGCUUAACACAUGCAAGUCGAACGGAAAGGCCCUGCUUUUGUGGGGUGCUCGAGUGGCGAACGGGUGAGUAACACGUGAGUAACCUGCCCUUGACUUUGGGAUAACUUCAGGAAACUGGGGCUAAUACCGGAUAGGAGCUCCUGCUGCAUGGUGGGGGUUGGAAAGUUUCGGCGGUUGGGGAUGGACUCGCGGCUUAUCAGCUUGUUGGGGGGGUAGUGGCUUACCAAGGCUUUGACGGGUAGCCGGCCUGAGAGGGUGACCGGCCACAUUGGGACUGUGAUACGGCCCAGACUCCCACGGGAGGCAGCAGUGUGGAAUAUUGCACAAUGGGCGGAAGCCUGAUGCAGCAACGCCGCGUGCGGGAUGACGGCCUUCGGGUUGUAAACCGCUUUCGCCGGUGACGAAGCGUGAGUGACGGUAAUGGGUAAAGAAGCACCGGCUAACUACGUG
rnacentral:rRNA from 1 species